UGAGCAGACUAUGCGAUAGCGUGGACGUCUAUAGUUCAUGAGGAAAGUCCGGGCAUCACAGAGCAGGAUAGCUGCUAACGGCAGCCGAGGGCGACCUUAGGGCCAGUGCAACAGAAAAGAAACUGCCGCAUUCGUGCGGUGAGGGUGGAAUGGUGAGGUAAGAGCUCACCAGAGUACAGGAGACUGUACUGCUGUGUAAACCCUAUCCGAUGCAACGCCUAAUGGGAUCCUCCGCCACAACGCUGGCUCGGCGGGCGGUCAGGAUCUGGGCGGCUCCAGCCAUAGGGCGACCUAUGGCGUAGAUAAAUUAUCGCACACGACAGAACCCGGCUUAUCGGUCUGGUCACACG
rnacentral:RNase_P_RNA from 1 species